GAUGAACGCUGGCGGCGUGCCUAAUACAUGCAAGUCGAGCGAACAGAUGAGGAGCUUGCUCCUUUGACGUUAGCGGCGGACGGGUGAGUAACACGUGGAUAACCUACCUAUAAGACUGGGAUCACUUCGGGAAACCGGAGCUAAUACCGGAUAAUAUCUUGAACCGCAUGGUUCAAUAGUGAAAGACGGUUUUGCUGUCACUUAUAGAUGGAUCCGCGCCGCAUUAGCUAGUUGGUAAGGUAACGGCUUACCAAGGCUACGAUGCGUAGCCGACGUGAGAGGGUGAUCGGCCACAUGGGAACUGAGACACGGUCCAGACUCCUACGGGAGGCAGCAGUAGGGAAUCUGCCGCAAUGGGCGAAAGUCUGACGGAGCAACGCCGCGUGAGUGAUGAAGGCGUUCGGAUCGUAAAACUCUGUUAUUAGGGAAGAACAAAUGUGUAAGUAACCGUGCACGUCUUGACGGUACCUAAUCAGAAAGCCACGGCUAACUACGUG
rnacentral:rRNA from 1 species